rnacentral:snRNA from 1 species
CUGUGGCACACAUGCUUACUAAAAGUGGAAUGACAUAGGGAAGACAACACGGCACUGGCACAAGGAUGAGGUCCAAAUUCAUGAAAUUUUCCUUAUCUUU